AUGAUAAAACCUUAACCCUCGGGCCCUCACAGAGUCCCAAACGCGAGUGAGAGCAGAUCUGAGAAAAUGAGAGAUGUGAAACACAGAGAAGGUCUGGAAACCCUAACAAUGGCAUUGUCUUUGUGAUCGGAGCCUUCGCUGUAGAUCAGAGACAUGAGCGUGAAGAAAGAGAGAGACGACGGGGCAUGAAGAAAAGCUCCUCCAAUGCGAUUCUUGUUUUGCGAGGUUUAACGCCUCGAUGACCGCCAUUGAUCCACGAUCGGAUCCGUUCAAGAGCUCACCGUUGAAAUCGCGUAGUAAUUAACACCAAGACCAGAGAUCUGAUGGGGCUAGGUACACUCCCUGCUUGCUCAAGAUGCGAUAGGGUGCGAUGUGGACUGAUAGAGGCACUGACAGCGGACCUUCCAUAUCCUUAAGGAGUUGUGUUCUGGUUUGCGAUCUUCAACAUUCAGCGGUUAUCCCACACCAAACGUUCUUCCUAUGAGUUGCAGCAUCUUGUAUUUUAAAUAAAAGAACCUGUUGUUCUAUGUUCUUUUUUGUUAUUGACAUAACAAACUGUUCUUCCUAUCAUUCCCACUUGUUGCAUUUUAACUUUAAUUUUUUUAUUAUAUGGUUUUUUUGAUAUGCUUUCAUAUAACUACCUUUCAAGUUUGCCCACAUUUUAAAAACAUUAUCGUUCCUGAAAUGCCAGCUUUUUAUUUUGUAGGUAAUUUUUUAGUAUUGAUGUUUCUUCUAGAGACGUGCAAUGAU